rnacentral:rRNA from 1 species
AGUGAACGCUGGCGGUAGGCCUAACACAUGCCAGUCGAACGGCAGCACAGUAAGAGCUUGCUCUUACGGGUGGCGAGUGGCGGACGGGUGAGGAAUACAUCGGAAUCUACUUUUUCGUGGGGGAUAACGUAGGGAAACUUACGCUAAUACCGCAUACGACCUACGGGUGAAAGCAGGGGAUCUUCGGACCUUGCGCGAUUGAAUGAGCCGAUGUCGGAUUAGCUAGUUGGCGGGGUAAAGGCCCACCAAGGCGACGAUCCGUAGCUGGUCUGAGAGGAUGGUCAGCCACACUGGAACUGAGACACGGUCCAGACUCCUACGGGAGGCAGCAGUGGGGAAUAUUGGACAAUGGGCGCAAGCCUGAUCCAGCCAUACCGCGUGGGUGAAGAAGGCCUUCGGGUUGUAGAGCCCUUUUGUUGGGAAAGAAAAGCAGCAGGUUAAUACCCCGCUGUUCUGACGGUACCCAAAGAAUAAGCACCGGCUAACUUCGUG